rnacentral:piRNA from 1 species
ACUGUCUGUAACUCUAAGUCCAGGGGAUGU